rnacentral:rRNA from 1 species
AUUGAACGCUGGCGGCAUGCCUUACACAUGCAAGUCGAACGGCAGCACGGGAGCAAUCCUGGUGGCGAGUGGCGAACGGGUGAGUAAAGUAUCGGAACGUGCCCAGUCGUGGGGGAUAACGUAGCGAAAGUUACGCUAAUACCGCAUACGAUCUAUGGAUGAAAGCGGGGGAUCGCAAGACCUCGCGCGAUUGGAGCGGCCGAUAUCAGAUUAGGUAGUUGGGGGGGUAAAGGCCCACCAAGCCGACGAUCUGGAGCUGGUCUGAGAGGACGACCAGCCACACUGGGACUGAGACACGGCCCAGACUCCUACGGGAGGCAGCAGUGGGGAAUUUUGGACAAUGGGCGAAAGCCUGAUCCAGCCACGCCGCGUGCAGGAUGAAGGCCUUCGGGUUGUAAACUGCUUUUGUACGGAACGAAAAGGACUGCCCUAAUACGGUGGUCCCAUGACGGUACCGUAAGAAUAAGCACCGGCUAACUACGUGCCAGCAGCCGCCGUAA